rnacentral:rRNA from 1 species
AUGGCCAUGGAGAUGGACAAGGGAUCAAUGACCAUGGUCGGGCCGCUUCGACACCACGAAGCUGCGGGACUGCGUCGGCUCGAAAGACCAGGAAGAAGGUGGAGCUCGUCAGCGGCAAGGACAACAAGGGCGGCGGUGGCGGGGACAAGAACAAGUGCAGCAACGGCGAGGGCGAGCAGGAGCCGGACAAAGAAGGACGAGGAGAAAAAGGAGCAGGACGACGAGUGCAGCGGCGGCGGCGGCGGCAAUGCCGGGAAGGGGAAGGGCGGCAUGGACAACAAGGAACCCAUCGUGGGGCUGAUCGUGACGGUGGCGCUCAAGAUCGGCUCUGCCGGCCUCGGCUGUGACGGCUGCAUGCACCGCAUCUGCUGCAAGCUCUUCAAGAUCAAAGGCGUGGAGCAGGUGAAAAUGGACCCGGCCAAGAACCAGGUAACGGUGACGGGCACCAUGGACGGCAAGGCCCUGCCGGAGAAGCUCCGCAAGAAGCUGCGCCGCCCCGUCGACGUGGUGCCGCCCGGCAAAGGGGACAAGGAAAAGGACAAGGGCGGCUGCAACAAGGACGGAAAGCAGCAGCAGGGGGUGACGGGGAGCGGUGCAAGGAGGCAGCGGAGAAGGCGCUGGCGGUGGAGCUGCAGCUAUGGAAGACGGUCUUCUACGACCAGCAGGCGAUGCAGGCCACCGAGUUCCUCCUCAACGAUGAGAACCCCAACGCCUGCGCCGUCGUGU